rnacentral:tRNA from 1 species
AAGGCUUUAAGUUAAACCAAACUAUUAGCCUUCAAAGCUAAAAUUAUAAAAAUAUUUUUAAGCCUUAGUAUUUAUACACCUUUAA